CCAAGGCUCAGUGUUGGUGCUCAGCACAAAUUGUAUUUUCUUUAUGCAUGCUCUGCUCAGUGCUUGUCAGCAACGCUCACGGGCUCUGUGAUGUUGCCUGGGUGUCCUGUUUGGGGCACAGGGCCCCUGGGUCAAACCUCAGUGCACCACAAAAGGUCAUACUGACAUGAUGAACAGAAAAGCUUUGGCCUCCCAAGCUGUAAUGCAUGUACAGGCAUGUGUGCAACUCCAAGAGAUCCCUGCUUGAGGUUUCCAUACAGUGUAGAUGGUGGCAUCCUCUGCUAAUAAUCUGGAUACAGUUCCAUUUGCAUGAAAUUCCUUGAGAGGACUCAAAUUUAGGCCACACAGAGUUUUGCAAGGAUUCCAAGAGGGAAAUGUGAACACAGCUGGGCAAAACUGAGAUAAUCUACUCCAAAAUAUGGAGUAUAAUGCUGUGCUAACUCUAGGACAUUAUGACACCAAGUUCCUCAUCUGUUCAAGGCAAAUGAACUCAAAACAAGACCCAAACCCUCACUGGAGGACUGCAAAAGGGCAUUUUCAAAGUCAAGCCCACAGGUUAACCCAAGGCCAUCAAGGUAACUCCUUAUCAAGCUUUACCUUCCCAGGCAACGACUGUCCAUUUUUUUGCCAUUGUAGCACCCAACAUCCCACAUCUCAGUCUGACAUGCUCAGCACCAGACUGCAUGGGGUGAGCAGGAAAAUGUCCCACUGUGGUGCCUUGCCUUUGUGAAAGCUGCUGGAACACAGACAAGGAAGAAACUUUGGACAGUAGUGAAUCCUAUUUUGAAGUGAAAAAUGGACAUAUGAAAGAGGGCAAAGUGGCACUAGAGAAAGGAAUUGCAUGCAGGACCUUGAAUGAGGGACACUCAGGGCAGCCAAAGACAUCAGCAACUUCUGCCAGCCACCUCUGGAAGGCAGGAGCAUCGCAAAAGGCUGGAUGUAGGCUCCUCCAUCAGCGAGCCCUCAGCCGCAGACAGGAUCAGUAACCACAACCCAAUCUGCUCCUCUUUCCGCAGAAAGGAAAAGCAGGCGCUUUUCCACAUGGCCAGAGACUUCCUGGGAUCCCUCCCUGCCUGAGAGACUCUGGGAGACUGUGCACACAGAAGAUGCAGAUGGGUAAUCUAAUCCAUGACCAACUCAUGGCUAACAUCCUUCAUGCAUAUAAAUUCCCAAGUGUCAGCCACUAACAAGAUCUUCAAUUGACAGCUGGAAAUGAAGAAAGGUCUCAGUUCCUGCUCUUCCACUUUCAAAUGCCAUUUGCAUCCCUCUGUUCUGCUCAGUUGCUCCAAGGUGCCAUGCUAGAGGACCAUGCAUCACACAGGGGAUGGGAAGUCUAUUGUAUGUGGGAUCUGGGACCACAUGGUUGCAGACAUGGAAGGAUAUUUUUUGGGUUGAGUUAUUGGUUAAGAAGGCCCAAUAACAGCAGCCCUUUCCUGGGUAUCCAUGACUCCCUAAACACCUCUGUUACUAGCUCAGACUCAGCCUUCACACAUCAUUGUAUACUGGUGGGGAAAGGAUUGAGCAUGAAAACCAAAGGCAGGGUACAACCGGUGGCAUUGUGGGUCUUUUGCAAGCUUUUUGAGUGUUCCAUCUGGGAAAACGUAAACACUAAAAAAGGUGUUAUCCUGUGACCAAGCAAUGGUUUUGUUGCAGUUUCCUUCACCAGCCUUUAGUCCUUAAACUCACUUUGUUGCCAUUCUGUUGCAAAUCAGGCUUCUUCAAUGAUUACUCCAUCAAAAACCCACCAGAACUAUCCCUAUUCUUCUUACUGAGGCCAAACACUUCAUUUCCUCAGUCUCAAUUUCAUCAGCCACUGCUGAACUUUACCCCAGGCCUUUUCCAGGGUAAGUCCCAAGCCCCACUCCUGGGCCAGCACUUGGAGACCUCUCAGAAUGGUUGUUAUGUCUGAGUUGUUUCCCACAAGCAACAUUCUGGCUUCACUGGAUGCUGGAGUGGUCACCUCUGUCUCACAGCAAGCUUCUGCUGCCUCAGCCUCACGGGGCCACCAUUGCAGAGAGGACAUGGAGUUACUCAAGCACAAAGGGUAAAUCCUGGGGCAAUUUGGUUCUGCCACAGCUCAGUUGACUUCUCUGAUGUACACAUACCACAGUGGCUGAGCAAACUUCUGGUGCCAACAGCAACAGAUGUUUCUGGAGCCUAAUUUAGGGAGGCACCUAUUGACCCUGGUUGUGUCUUCUUUGGGUACACUGGUCAGCUCUGAUCUGUAGCAAGCCAAUGGUAAUGGGCUCUUUGCCCAAUUGCACUUGCCACGUGGCCAUUGCCAUCACGUUCUGUCUUUUCACUCCAUCUGGGUUCAUAUUUUGAAAGCUCUGCUUUUCAUUCUUCAGGAAUUUAUUACACAAUCAAAUUAAUCUCUGGUACCUCUUUUUUAUCUACACUAGUCAUGUCUACAAAUUUUAGAAGUGUAAUUAGAAAUGGAGUGCAUUUUCCCGCUGGGGAAAUUCCCACUAGGGUUUACUUAUAUACCCAAAGUAGCUUCAGAGAUUUUUAGAGAACUUUAUUUUUAUGGUAGAAAAUUCAUCCAAAACUUGGCAGGACAUGUAUCUAAAUGAAAUGAAAAGUUUCAAGGGGGAUGACAGCAUUGCUGUGCAUUUGCUGUUUUCACCUACAGAAUGAAGAAAGGUUCACCCAUAAAUAACUUCCAGGCUACACGUUCUAGUAGAAAUAUUACCAUUUUUUCAAGUAAAACCAGAUUCAAUGUAAAAAUCAUACCUUAUCAUUUAUUUAGACAAUCUGAUUUAUAGGCACUGCUGUACUAGCUGCUAGUCAUUCUGAUUGCACCCUUGUAUUCUCUGUGUCUUCCUAACACUAUCUCACUUUGU